UUCCAGGGUCCAUGCAAAUGUAUAGGAUGGCUUUUUUUGGAAAGGUGCUUUACUCAAAUUAGGCCUAUCUACACUUGUAAAAUGAGGACUAAUAUUUCAUAUUCUUUUUCUUUCCUUUCCAAUGAAUACUUGCUGCUCCAUAAAACAAAAGUGACCAUGAAAUCAACAGAGGGGCAGGACGUUGGGGUCCAUUGCACUUCUAUCCACAAGAGACACCCGAGCUUGAAUCACCGUGGAGCAGCGAAGAUGAUGAUGAAAUCAACUGUUGGGCAGG